rnacentral:rRNA from 1 species
UACGUAGGGCGCAAGCGUUGCCCGGAAUUAUUGGGCGUAAAGAGCUCGUAGGCGGUUUGUCGCGUCUGCUGUGAAAACCUAAGGCUCAACCUUGGGCUUGCAGUGGGUACGGGCAGACUAGAGUGCGGUAGGGGUGACUGGAAUUCCUGGUGUAGCGGUGGAAUGCGCAGAUAUCGAGAGGAACACCUGCGGCGAAGGCGGGUUGCUGGGCUGACACUGACGCUGAUGCGCGAAAGCCAGGGGAGCGAACGGG